rnacentral:tRNA from 1 species
GUUUUUGUAGUUGAAAUACAACAGUGAUUUUUCAGGUCACAAGUCUUGGAUGAGGCCAAGCAAGAACU